CCGGUAAUCACCAUUGUUAGUGUGCAGGGCGAACACAUACUCCGAGAUUUAAACGUUUUUUGACGUGAUAGUAACGUUUUUGACUGACAGACCCAACACUGCUUUAUUGCUACAGCUAUGGGUAAAAAGAGUAAAUUCACUCUUCACCUUAUGAAACAAUCCGACAACGGAUCAUAUUGUAUAAAAUCACCAGAAGAAGGUUAUAGUCACGUUUCUCCUUGUCCUGCACCAAAAGAAAGGGUAGACCUACAAAAUGAAGAUAAUGCGGAAAAAGAAGCCAAUACAGGGGCGAAUUCCACUUCUGAGUUUGAAAGUCUUUUCGAACACAGCAGCGAGGAUGAUAUCUCCAGUGGCAGUAGUGAUGCGUACAAUCCAGAUAAAAACGAAAAUAAC